rnacentral:rRNA from 1 species
AUUCUGAAAGGGAUACUUCUUCGGACAAUAUACAAGGUGCUGCAUGGUUGUCGUCAGCUCGUGCCGUGAGGUGUCGGGUUAAGUCCCAUAACGAGCGCAACCCCUAUCAUUAGUUGCCAUCAGGUCAAGCUGGGGACUCUAAUGAAACUGCCUACGCAAGUAGUGAGGAAGGUGGGGAUGACGUCAAAUCAGCACGGCCCUUACGUCCAGGGCUACACACGUGCUACAAUGGCCGGUACAAAGGGCAGCUACCUGGUGACAGGAUGCUAAUCUCAAAAGCCGGUCUCAGUUCGGAUCGGAGUCUGCAACCCGACUCCGUGAAGCUGGAAUCGCUAGUAAUCGUGAAUCAGAAUGUCACGGUGAAUACGUUCCCGGGCCUU